rnacentral:lncRNA from 1 species
GCAUAUUGAAGAAGAAGUCACAGAACAGAAAGGUUCAAUAGGCUUUGUGAAAAUUUGACAUCUGGUUUCAAAAUGACUAUUAUUAUACCAGAAUGAGCGGAUAAAGAAUUGGCUCACGAGUCUAACUUCCAGCUUUGUCGUGUUCAACGGGCUUUUUAAGCCAUCUGAAUUUGUUUCAAGCCCAAAAUAACAUUUUACUAUUUUAUGCAUUUUUCUAUUUUAUUUAUGUUUUAGAUUAAAAGCC